UACAAGCCGAGGCAACUUGAACACCAGGCAUUUGGCCAGAGAUUCCGUAACUUGAUUCACUGCCCAAUGUCACGUGGAAACACUAUUUGUUAUAUAUACCAUAUGUCUUCGUCUUAUGGUAUAUAUAUAGAUUAAAAUAUAUUUAAAUAAAAUAGAAUAGAACGACCGGCAUUUUAAUUCUCAUUCUUAGACUUAGUUUUAGUCUCAGUACAGCAUCCGCUUAUUAAAUGUCACGAUAAAAUCUACUGCACCUAAAAGUUUAACACACAUUUUAAAUCGUGAUACUUUCUACUCUUGUACUCAAUUUUUUUCUACGCUCAAGGAAUUCCAAAUGACGAAAUACGAUCGAGGCUAAUAAUUAAGUAAUAGAGCUUCAUUAUUACGAAGAUCGAUCUGGAAUCUCCAAGAA